AGCAAGAUCAGGCCUAACACAUGCAAGUCGAGCGGAAACGAUGGUAGCUUGCUACCAGGCGUCGAGCGGCGGACGGGUGAGUAAUACUUAGGAAUCUACCUAGUAGUGGGGGAUAGCACGGGGAAACUCGUAUUUAAAAUACCGCAUACGACCUACGGGAGAAAGGGGGCAGUUUACUGCUCUUCGCUAUUAGAUGAGCCUAAGUCGGAUUAGGCUAGAUGGUGGGGUAAAGGCCUACCAUGGCGACGAUCUGUAGCUGGUCUGAGAGGAUGAUCAGCCACACCGGGACUGAGACACGGCCCGGACUCCUACGGGAGGCAGCAGUGGGGAAUAUUGGACAAUGGGGGAAACCCUGAUCCAGCCAUGCCGCGUGUGUGAAGAAGGCCUUUUGGUUGUAAAGCACUUUAAGCAGUGAAGAAGACUCUUCGGUUAAUACCCGGAGACGAUGACAUUAGCUGCAGAAUAGGCACCGGCUAACUCUGUGCCAGCAGCCGCGGUAAUACAGAGGGUGCAAGCGUUAAUCGGAAUUACUGGGCGUAAAGCGAGCGUAGGUGGCUUGAUAAGUCAGAUGUGAAAUCCCCGGGCUUAACCUGGGAACUGCAUCUGAAACUGUUAGGCUAGAGUAGGUGAGAGGGAAGUAGAAUUUCAGGUGUAGCGGUGAAAUGCGUAGAGAUCUGAAGGAAUACCGAUGGCGAAGGCAGCUUCCUGGCAUCAUACUGACACUGAGGCUCGAAAGCGUGGGUAGCAAACAGGAUUAGAUACCCUGGUAGUCCACGCCGUAAACGAUGUCUACUAGUCGUUGGGUCCCUUGAGGACUUAGUGACGCAGCUAACGCAAUAAGUAGACCGCCUGGGGAGUACGGCCGCAAGGUUAAAACUCAAAUGAAUUGACGGGGGCCCGCACAAGCGGUGGAGCAUGUGGUUUAAUUCGAUGCAACGCGAAGAACCUUACCUGGUCUUGACAUAUCUAGAAUCCUGCAGAGAUGCGGGAGUGCCUUCGGGAAUUAGAAUACAGGUGCUGCAUGGCUGUC
rnacentral:rRNA from 1 species